UACGUAGGGUGCGAGCGUUGUCCGGAAUUACUGGGCGUAAAGGGCGCGUAGGCGGUUCGUACAGUCAGACGUGAAAUUCCUGGGCUCAACCUGGGGGCUGCGUUUGAUACGUGCGGACUUGAGUGCGGAAGAGGGUCGUGGAAUUCCCAGUGUAGAGGUGAAAUUCGUAGAUAUUGGGAAGAACACCGGUGGCGAAGGCGGCGACCUGGUCCGAUACUGACGCCGAGGCGCGAAAGCGUGGGGAGCAAACAGG
rnacentral:rRNA from 1 species